UACGUAGGGUGCAAGCGUUAUCCGGAAUUAUUGGGCGUAAAGAGCUCGUAGGCGGUUUGUCGCGUCUGCUGUGAAAACUGGAGGCUCAACCUCCAGCCUGCAGUGGGUACGGGCGGACUAGAGUGCGGUAGGGGAGAUUGGAAUUCCUGGUGUAGCGGUGGAAUGCGCAGAUAUCAGGAGGAACACCGAUGGCGAAGGCAGAUCUCUGGGCCGUAACUGACGCUGAGGAGCGAAAGCAUGGGGAGCGAACAGG
rnacentral:rRNA from 1 species